rnacentral:misc_RNA from 1 species
GAUGAAGAACGUAGCGAAAUGCGAUACGUAAUGUGAAUUGCAGAAUUCAGUGAAUCAUCGAAUCUUUGAACGCAUAUUGCGCUCUCUGGUAUUCCGGAGAGCAUGCUUGUUUGAGUAUCAGUAAACACCUCAACUUCCAUAUCUUUUUUGAAAUGGGAGUUGGACUUGAGUGAUCCCAACGCUUUUCCUCACCGAAAAGUGGCGGGUUACUUGAAAUGCAGGUGCAGCUGGACUUUUCUCUGAGCUAUAAGCAUAUCUAUUUAGUCUGCCUAAAAAACAGAUUAUUACCUUUGCUGCAGCUAACAUAAAGGAGAUUAGUUCUUGUGCUGACUGAUGCAGGAUUCACAAAGACGGCUUCGGCCGACUUUGUAAACUCGAUCUCAAAUCAAGUAAGACUACCCGCUGAACUUACGCAUAUCAAUAAGCGGAGGA